ACGCUCGACACCUACGGGAGGUAGCAGUGAGGAAUAUUGGUCAAUGGACGCAAGUCUGAACCAGCCAUGCCGCGUGCAGGAUGACGGCUCUAUGAGUUGUAAACUGCUUUUGUACGAGGGUAAACGCAGAUACGUGUAUCUGUCUGAAAGUAUCGUACGAAUAAGGAUCGGCUAACUCCGUGCCAGCAGCCGGUAAUCUGAGCGGGCUGGCAAGGC
rnacentral:rRNA from 1 species